rnacentral:rRNA from 1 species
GGGGAAUAUUGCACAAUGGGGGAAACCCUGAUGCAGCGACGCCGCGUGAAGGAUGAAGUAUUUCGGUAUGUAAACUUCUAUCAGCAGGGAAGAAGAUGACGGUACCUGACUAAGAAGCCCCGGCUAACUACGUGCCAGCAGCCGCGGUAAUACGUAGGGGGCAAGCGUUAUCCGGAUUUACUGGGUGUAAAGGGAGCGUAGACGGCGAUGCAAGCCAGAUGUGAAAGCCCGGGGCUCAACCCCGGGACUGCAUUUGGAACUGCGUGGCUGGAGUGUCGGAGAGGCAGGCGGAAUUCCUAGUGUAGCGGUGAAAUGCGUAGAUAUUAGGAGGAACACCAGUGGCGAAGGCGGCCUGCUGGACGAUGACUGACGUUGAGGCUCGAAAGCGUGGGGAGCAAAC